rnacentral:misc_RNA from 1 species
GUGAAUCAUCAAAUUUUUGAACGCAAAUUGCGCCUUUUUCGGAAGGCAUGUCUGUUUGAGGGCACCAUUUAACAAAUAAUGUGCAGCGUUGUGUGUAUAUGUGACGUGCACACGGUGAUGAUCUUUCCGAGAAUUUUAAAUUUUUGGUUGCGCAAUAUGAACCGCGUGAAAGUUUUUUUCAGUUCGAGUGUUGUAAAAUUUUUGCUUGUGUUGUAAAAACACAUAA